rnacentral:rRNA from 1 species
UGAGAAAUCUGCCCUUCUCAUCGGAAUAAGCGUUGGAAACGACGUCUAAUGCCGAAUACGACCUCCUUUCGCAUGAUCGGAGGUGGAAAGCUCCGGCGGAGAAGGAUGAGCUCGCGGCCUAUCAGCUAGUUGGUGUGGGUAAUGGCCCACCAAGGCGACGACGGGUAGCCGGCCUGAGAGGGUGACCGGCCACACGUGGGACUGAGACCACCGGCCCAGACCUCCGUACGGGAGNAGCG